UNGCAAUGAAAGAGGUGGCAUUAAACAGC
rnacentral:piRNA from 1 species